rnacentral:lncRNA from 1 species
GAACUAUUCAUUUCGUGUAUUUUAUGUAUACAUCACUUUGUGUUUAUUAAAUGAAUAACUCAUACUUUUUUGGUGUUUCCUGCUGCAGCACAUCGACCUGGCCAUGGACUUGCUGUGAGAUCGAGCUCAAAGACAUCCAAAAUCAUUUGAUGUCCAUGGUCAAGUCAUAUUAAACAUCGAGUUCUUGCGUGCCAUUACCAUAUAGUAUCAGUCGCUCAAACUUAUGGGUAACGAGUACACGGUGCCAGAAUAUAUGCUCGAGUGGGUAAUAGGACUGUCACCGAGUGUUGAGAAAAAAUCAUGGGAGGGUUGUACACAUAUGUACAUUCCAGCAUGCAUCAAUAAACAUUAUGUUACACUGGAGAUUGUUUUUGCUGACUCGACUAUAUAUGUGUACGACCCAGAUCAUUCAUGUUUGACACAAGGCCAGUUGGAGCAAAACCUGGAGUCCGUGGCUGUAAUUGUUCCUAUGAUGGUCGGACGAGCGGGGAUAAAUGUACAGGACAGAUUGCAGAUUGUUCGGAACACGACGACAACGUAACAGUCCGUAAGGUAAGUGUUUGAAAUUUGUUGUUUUUAUCUUUCAGAUUUAGUUUUUACUUACACAGUACUGAAUUGAUUCAUUCUUGUUCAAUUGUAG